GGCCCGGCCGGGCGGUCCUCCGCUUCGGCGGGGUGCACUGCCUUCUCCAGGCCGGGCCUUUCCUCCCGGGGAACCCGCCCGGGCCGCUUUCGGGCGGCCUGGGCGCGGGGAGCCGGGACGUUUACCUUGAAAAAAUUAGAGUGUUCAAAGCAGGCGCACGCUUGUAUAGAUUAGCAUGGAAUAAUGGAAUAGGACCUGUGGUUCUGUUUUGUUGGUUUUUGGGACCGCGGUA
rnacentral:rRNA from 1 species